rnacentral:rRNA from 1 species
UAGGGAAUCUUCGGCAAUGGGGGGAACCCUGACCGAGCAACGCCGCGUGAGUGAAGAAGGUUUUCGGAUCGUAAAGCUCUGUUGUUAAGGAAGAACGAGUGUGAGAAUGGAAAGUUCAUACUGUGACGGUACUUAACCAGAAAGGGACGGCUAACUACGUGCCAGCAGCCGCGGUAAUACGUAGGUCCCGAGCGUUUUCCGGAUUUAUUGGGCGUAAAGCGAGCGCAGGCGGUUAGAUAAGUCUGAAGUUAAAGGCAGUGGCUCAACCAUUGUAGGCUUUGGAAACUGUUUAACUUGAGUGCAGAAGGGGAGAGUGGAAUUCCAUGUGUAGCGGUGAAAUGCGUAGAUAUAUGGAGGAACACCGGUGGCGAGAGCGGCUCUCUGGUCUGUAACUGACGCUGAGGCUCGAAAGCGUGGGGAGCGAACAGG